rnacentral:lncRNA from 1 species
CAGUGGAAAAGGCAAUGGACGAGAUGUCAGAGCAGCUGGACUGACUCCAGGCUGUUGUUUCUUCUCAUGGGCUGUUAAUAUUGCCCAAUUGUGAUGGCCCAUUGCUCCAGUGAAUAGCAGUGCAGCUGAGUAGAGGACUGUGAGAAGAAUUCAGCAAUCAAAGCCAUCAGUCCUGCCUGUUGUGAUCAGACUGCAGUUUCUGCUCCUAACUGAUGGAUGUUCAGGUCAAAGCAAGAAAUGGCAUCAGCACAAAGAAUGGCUCAGCCCUUACUCUUUACAGACUCCUGUAAGUUUCCAGAUCUAUAAAUAUUCACGUUAUUCCCCACAGAGGGGAAGAAAGAGGAUGAUUUGUAUCCUUCUAGCUUGUUCUGUUAACACAUUCCCAUUUUUCAGUGUUUUCCAGUUGGAUAAAUACUGUGACGAACAGGAAACCCUUGUGAGAGGAAAUACAUUUUAGCAUAAAUUGCAUUGGUGUGUAGCUUAUAAAUAUUUGCAAUGAAAUGUGAAAAAUAUCUCUAUUGGUCACAUUAAUGUAUUCUGGAUAUGGAAGACCAGCCUUCUUUUGAAGACAUGAAUGGAAUUUCUACUAUAGGAAA